CAGCCGCCACGGGAAUACAGAGGGUGCGAGCGUUAAUCGGAUUUACUGGGCGUAAAGCGUGCGUAGGCGGCUUCUUAAGUCGGAUGUGAAAUCCCUGAGCUUAACUUAGGAAUUGCAUUCGAUACUGGGAAGCUAGAGUAUGGGAGAGGAUGGUAGAAUUCCAGGUGUAGCGGUGAAAUGCGUAGAGAUCUGGAGGAAUACCGAUGGCGAAGGCAGCCAUCUGGCCUAAUACUGACGCUGAGGUACGAAAGCAUGGGGAGCAAACAGGAUUAGAGACCCCCGUAGUCCCUGUCUCUUAUAU
rnacentral:rRNA from 1 species